UGACCUCUCCGGGUUCCAUAUGGCAUUACUCUGGAGCCCAGGCUAGCUUUCCUUCUGAACUUACUGGGAGUAUUACAAGCUUGAGUCACUCCAUGCUGGCUCUUUCUGAGUCUUGCUGCCCUCCAAGAAGUCAAGGCUCGACCAAAAUCUCUAGGAUCUAGAUUUGAUGUCCUCUGCCCAGCGUCCCUGCCGUCCCCUCCCCUCCUCCAGCCUGUGUGAAGUGGGGCUGGUGGCUCAGGCAAGCUGGGGCCAGGCCUGCUGCCCAUUCCGUGAACUUGCUGGACACCACGUUGUCAAGCCCCUGACUUAUCUGCCAGUGUGGAAUGGGGUGGAAUCAGCCUCUACUUUGAUCUUCAGUGUCUGCCGGGACUUCUGAUUGCUUCACAUCCUUGCUAGCUCUGGAUCCUUCAGAUCUGUCAAUGCUAAGCAGAUGAAGAUGCCUGCCGCCGAGGCCGGGGACCAGAGUUUGAUUCCUGGAACUUCUAUGACAGAAGAAGUGAAUGGACUCCUGGAAGCUAUCUUUUGACAUCACAUGCACUUUGUGUUCUCUAACCAUCUCCACCCAUUAAAUAAACAUUAAAUAAAAAUCUCAAGCAGCAACACA